GCGAAAAAAUCAUCCACUAGCACCCCGUGGAAGGAAUCCCCGAGCGAGGCGCUCGUCUCAUCUCUCCCGAGCGACAGAAGCGGCGGCAAGGAGGCGGCGGGGACGAGUGGACGACGGCGGCGCAACCUACCCGGAGGAGGAGGGUGCCCUCCUGCUUCGACGACCUGCCACGAAGCCCGCCGGAACCCUAGCCUCCGAUUGUCACAUCUCCCCCGCCGCCCCCUUGCCGCGGCCGGAACCCUAGUUCCGGAGAAGUGGUUGCUGCAGGCGAGGAGAUCUCUGAGGCUAGCUUCGUCGCCUCACAGCUGCAGCAAGACCCUGAAUUGGGCAGUAUCGUGAAGGACAAGACUUGGAAUGGAUCCGGAAAUGAGGGAUCGGUGUUAGGAAGAGGGACGAGGAGGGACAUUUGAUAGAGACCGAUGGAGUUGCUCUUAGGGAGCGGAGGAUUCCGCGUCAUACAUCAUCGCUAACAGGUGAGAUGUUUGUUAAUGAGUUACUCGAAGGGCACGUCAAAAACUGUCGGGUAGCAUUUAGGAUGGAGCCGCAUAUCUUCAAAUCUUUGGCUAAUUAUCUUCGAAGGGAGAAGUUGGUGAAAGAUACCAGAAUUAAAGUCGAAGAGAAACUAGCAUCAUUUAUGUGGAUGUUAUCCCAUAAUUCUUCAUUUGAAGACCUUCAAGUUCGGUUUGGUCACAGUGGGGAUACUUUUCAUUGGCAACUGAAGAAUUUCUUUGACAUCAUCCCUAUUCUCUCCAAGCAUUUUUUGAAGCCUCCAAAUCCCAGUCAAGUGCAUCCAAAGAUUCAAUCAGACAUGAGAUUCUUUCCUUAUUUUCAGAACUGCAUUGGGGCAAUUGAUGGGACACAUGUUCCCAUAACAAUUUUAGGAGAAAUAGCCGCACCAUUCAGAAAUAGGAAAGGGACCCUAAGCCAUAAUGUUAUGGUCGUGUGCGACUUCGACCUGAACUUCACCUUCAUUUCUUGUGGCUGGGAGGGAUCUGCUACUGAUGCUAAAGUUCUCCGGUCAGCACUUAACAGUGGGUUUCAUGUACCUCCGGGCAAGUUUUAUCUGGUUGAUGGUGGUUAUGCCAACACACCUUACUUCUUGGCACCGUAUCGUGGUGUUCGGUACCAUCUGAAGGAGUUUGCACGUGGUCGUCAUCGACCCCAAAAUCACAGGGAGCUAUUUAAUCUCCGGCACGCCGUGUUAUGAAAUCACGUCGAACGGGGAUUAGGAAUCUUGAAGAAGCGGUUCCCAAUCCUAAAAGUGGGCACACAUCAUCGAAUAGAGAACCAAGUCAAGAUACCAGCAGCGGCGGCAAUCUUACAUAACAUCAUCCGAUCUGAAAAAGGAGAUGAGUGUUGGUUAGAUAACCAACCAAACAAUAUACCUGUCAUGAAUUUUGUCGAUCUUCCUGACAGUGAUAUUCCUCAAAAUCAUCAAAUCAACCAUGAAGGCGACAACCUUAGAGAUGCCAUUGCUCAUCAAAUAAGUCACUAUGAUGACUGCUCGAGGGUCACCAAGGUUGAGCCUCCUCAAAAAAGCUGUCGAAAGGGAUAGAGCAUCACCUCCUACAAGCAGUGUGACAAAGAGGAGGAGAGGGUCUCCCAAAGGUGUCGUGACUUUAUUUCUCUGAAGAUAGAGCACAGUGGAAUGCAAGCCUUGAGAAAGAUCUUGUGGACUUGCUUCGUGAGCAUGCUACACCUGAACAUAAGGGUCAAAAUGGAUGGAGCUCAGAAGCAUGGAAUACGAUAGUGAAGAAAUUCCACCAGAAGAAUCCUUAUGCUAGGUACGAGAAGAAGAAAAUCCAAGAAAAGGAAAAAGAGUUAAAAAAAGAAUACAAGAUGAUCAAAGAGAUAAGGAAGCAAAGCGGCGUUUCAUGGGACGACUGGCAGUGCAAGAUUCUAGCGGAUCCACCACUUUGGAAAAACAUCAUCAUAUCACACCCUAAAGCUGGAAAGUUCAAGACAAAAGCCUUCCCUCUUUUUGAAGCUUUGGGAGAAUUGCAUGAUGGCCAAACUGCAGAAGGGACAUAUAACUUCACCUCUAUCGAGUCAUCACAUUGCUCAACUCAAUCAUGUCUUGAGAAUCUUGGAGGAGCUGGCAAGAAUCAAGGAGAAACAUCAGCUGAUGAUGAGAAUCUUGGAGGAGAAAGGGUGCAGAUUGAUGAAGAUGUUGAGGAGGUGUACGUGCAAGAAAACAUUGCUGUGGAGCCCCAGCAAACUCAACCAAAUUUGGCUACUACACCCUCAAGAAAUGGAGAAGAGAAAGAACCAAAGAGAAGGAGGGGGGCGAAUGGUGAUGUGGCUGCAAUGAUGGAGAAGUACUUGGAAAUAAGGACGAAGCAGGUGGAGGAUGAGAGGAAUAAGCCAAGGGUCGUGGAUGAGUACUCUAUCAAAAACUACAUUGAUCUACUGAAAACAAUGGACAUCACACCUGAAGAAGAAGUCAAGGCUUUCCGAGUCUUCAAGAUCCCUGAGAACCGAGAGAUUUUCAUGAGUGCCAGACCGGAGACUGCUCUUAUGUGGCUGAGAGCUGAAAUGGAAUAACUCAGGAGUUCUAGAUAAGAAUGCUCCGGAAGAAGGGAGAAGGUGCCGUGGCUUGGAUCUAUUUGUGUGUGCUUUUCAGUGGAAGACUUCAUAUCUAUUCUCUGGGUUUUGUCCAUGUAAUAUUUGUAGAGAAACUAAACACUAUUUCUGAAAUGACUGACUGUAGCGUGGAAGAAUUUGGGAGGAACUGAUAAUUAAGCUCUUGUGGUCUAUUCAACAUAUUAUAUAUUAUGUAUGCUCAAAUUGCUAUUAUUUUUGUUAGUAUUUGUGCCCUAUUCAAAUCUUA